GACGAACGCUGGCGGCGUGCUUAACACAUGCAAGUCACGGGGGCUGGAGCGAAUCCAGUAACCGGCGAACGGGUGCGUAACACGUGAGCAACCUGCCGUACUCAGGGGGAUAGCCGGCCCAACGGCCGGGUAAUACCGCAUACGUUCUCGCAGGGGAGUCCCUGUGGGAGGAAACCUCCGGGGGAGUACGAGGGGCUCGCGGCCUAUCAGCUAGUUGGUGCGGUAACGGCGCACCAAGGCGACGACGGGAGCUGGUCUGAGAGGAUGGCCAGCCGACAUUGGGACUGAGAGACGGCCCAGACUCCUACGGGAGGCAGCAGUGGGAAUCUUGCGCAAUGGCCGAAAGGCUGACGCAGCGACGCCGCGUGGGGAUGAAGCA
rnacentral:rRNA from 1 species